rnacentral:rRNA from 1 species
CCUACGGGUGGCAGCAGUAGGGAAUCUUCCACAAUGGACGAAAGUCUGAUGGAGCAACGCCGCGUGCGUGAAGAAGGGUUUCGGCUCGUAAAGCUCUGUUGGUCGUGCAAAAAGAUAGAGGUAGUAACUGGCCUGUAUUUGACGGUAAUUACUUAGAAAGUCACGGCUCACUACGUGCCAGCAGCCGCGGUAAUGCGUAGGUGGCAAGCGUUGUCCGGAUUUAUUGGGCGUAAAGCGAGUUCAGGCGGUGCAAUAAGUCUGAUGUGAACGCCUUCGGCGCAACCGGAGAAUUGCAUCAGAAACCGUUGAACUUGAGUGCAGAAGAGGAGAGUGGAACUCCAUGUGUAGCGGUUGAAUGCGUAGAUAUAUGGAAGAACACCAGUGGCGAAGGCGGCUCUCUGGUCUGCAACUGACGCUGAGGCUCGAAAGCAUGGGUAGCGAACAGGAUUAGAGACCCUAGUAGUC